rnacentral:sRNA from 1 species
AUGUACCACUCGUACACUCCGGUUCCUGCGCGCCGCACACACCCACCUGACGACUGCUCGCUACGUUCUGUAGCC